rnacentral:rRNA from 1 species
UUAAGCGACUAAGCGUACACGGUGGAUGCCCUGGCAGUCAGAGGCGAUGAAGGGCGUGCUAAUCUGCGAUAAGCGCCGGUAAGGUGAUAUGAACCGUUAUAACCGGCGAUACCCGAAUGGGGAAACCCAGUGUGAUUCGUCACACUAUCAUUAACUGAAUCCAUAGGUUAAUGAGGCGAACCGGGGGAACUGAAACAUCUAAGUACCCCGAGGAAAAGAAAUCAACCGAGAUUCCCCCAGUAGCGGCGAGCGAACGGGGAGGAGCCCAGAGCCUGAAUCAGCAUGUGUGUUAGUGGAAGCGUCUGGAAAGGCGCGCGAUACAGGGUGACAGCCCCGUACACAAAAGCGCAUGUGCUGUGAGCUCGAUGAGUAGGGCGGGACACGUGGUAUCCUGUCUGAAUAUGGGGGGACCAUCCUCCAAGGCUAAAUACUCCUGACUGACCGAUAGUGAACCAGUACCGUGAGGGAAAGGCGAAAAGAACCCCGGCGAGGGGAGUGAAAAAGAACCUGAAACCGUGUACGUACAAGCAGUGGGAGCACAGGUUUACCUGUGUGACUGCGUACCUUUUGUAUAAUGGGUCAGCGACUUAUAUUCUGUAGCAAGGUUAACCGAAUAGGGGAGCCGGAGGGAAACCGAGUCUUAAUUGGGCGUUAAGUUGCAGGGUAUAGACCCGAAACCCGGUGAUCUAGCCAUGGGCAGGUUGAAGGUUGGGUAACACUAACUGGAGGACCGAACCGACUAAUGUUGAAAAAUUAGCGGAUGACCUGUGGCUGGGGGUGAAAGGCCAAUCAAACCGGGAGAUAGCUGGUUCUCCCCGAAAGCUAUUUAGGUAGCGCCUCGUGAAUUCAUCUCCGGGGGUAGAGCACUGUUUCGGCUAGGGGGCCAUCCCGGCUUACCAACCCGAUGCAAACUGCGAAUACCGGAGAAUGUUAUCACGGGAGACACACGGCGGGUGCUAACGUCCGUCGUGAAGAGGGAAACAACCCAGACCGCCAGCUAAGGUCCCAAAGUCAUGGUUAAGUGGGAAACGAUGUGGGAAGGCCCAGACAGCCAGGAUGUUGGCUUAGAAGCAGCCAUCAUUUAAAGAAAGCGUAAUAGCUCACUGGUCGAGUCGGCCUGCGCGGAAGAUGUAACGGGGCUAAACCAUGCACCGAAGCUGCGGCAGCGAACGUAUCACUUAAAGCGAUUCAGCGGGUUACGAUUGACGGAGCGAAGCGACGUCAAAGCGUAUACAAAGUCGAGUUGGCUUAGGGAUACGUUCGUUGGGUAGGGGAGCGUUCUGUAAGCCUGUGAAGGUGGCCUGUGAGGGUUGCUGGAGGUAUCAGAAGUGCGAAUGCUGACAUAAGUAACGAUAAAGCGGGUGAAAAGCCCGCUCGCCGGAAGACCAAGGGUUCCUGUCCAACGUUAAUCGGGGCAGGGUGAGUCGACCCCUAAGGCGAGGCCGAAAGGCGUAGUCGAUGGGAAACGGGUUAAUAUUCCCGUACUUGGUGUUACUGCGAAGGGGGGACGGAGAAGGCUAUGUUGGCCGGGCGACGGUUGUCCCGGUUUAAGCGUGUAGGUGUGUGUUCCAGGUAAAUCCGGUUCACUUUAACACUGAGGCGUGACGACGAGGCACUACGGUGCUGAAGCAACAAAUGCCCUGCUUCCAGGAAAAGCCUCUAAGCAUCAGGUAACACGAAAUCGUACCCCAAACCGACACAGGUGGUCAGGUAGAGAAUACCAAGGCGCUUGAGAGAACUCGGGUGAAGGAACUAGGCAAAAUGGUGCCGUAACUUCGGGAGAAGGCACGCUGACACGUAGGUGAAGUGAUUUACUCAUGGAGCUGAAGUCAGUCGAAGAUACCAGCUGGCUGCAACUGUUUAUUAAAAACACAGCACUGUGCAAACACGAAAGUGGACGUAUACGGUGUGACGCCUGCCCGGUGCCGGAAGGUUAAUUGAUGGGGUCAGCGCAAGCGAAGCUCCUGAUCGAAGCCCCGGUAAACGGCGGCCGUAACUAUAACGGUCCUAAGGUAGCGAAAUUCCUUGUCGGGUAAGUUCCGACCUGCACGAAUGGCGUAAUGAUGGCCAGGCUGUCUCCACCCGAGACUCAGUGAAAUUGAACUCGCUGUGAAGAUGCAGUGUACCCGCGGCAAGACGGAAAGACCCCGUGAACCUUUACUAUAGCUUGACACUGAACAUUGAGCCUUGAUGUGUAGGAUAGGUGGGAGGCUUUGAAGUGUGGACGCCAGUCUGCAUGGAGCCGACCUUGAAAUACCACCCUUUAAUGUUUGAUGUUCUAACGUGGACCCGUAAUCCGGGUUGCGGACAGUGUCUGGUGGGUAGUUUGACUGGGGCGGUCUCCUCCUAAAGAGUAACGGAGGAGCACGAAGGUUGGCUAAUCCUGGUCGGACAUCAGGAGGUUAGUGCAAUGGCAUAAGCCAGCUUGACUGCGAGCGUGACGGCGCGAGCAGGUGCGAAAGCAGGUCAUAGUGAUCCGGUGGUUCUGAAUGGAAGGGCCAUCGCUCAACGGAUAAAAGGUACUCCGGGGAUAACAGGCUGAUACCGCCCAAGAGUUCAUAUCGACGGCGGUGUUUGGCACCUCGAUGUCGGCUCAUCACAUCCUGGGGCUGAAGUAGGUCCCAAGGGUAUGGCUGUUCGCCAUUUAAAGUGGUACGCGAGCUGGGUUUAGAACGUCGUGAGACAGUUCGGUCCCUAUCUGCCGUGGGCGCUGGAGAACUGAGGGGGGCUGCUCCUAGUACGAGAGGACCGGAGUGGACGCAUCACUGGUGUUCGGGUUGUCAUGCCAAUGGCACUGCCCGGUAGCUAAAUGCGGAAGAGAUAAGUGCUGAAAGCAUCUAAGCACGAAACUUGCCCCGAGAUGAGUUCUCCCUGAGACUUAGAGUCUCCUGAAGGAACGUUGAAGACGACGACGUUGAUAGGCCGGGUGUGUAAGCGCAGCGAUGCGUUGAGCUAACCGGUACUAAUGAACCGUGAGGCUUAACCUU